rnacentral:rRNA from 1 species
GACGAACGCUGGCGGCGUGCUUAACACAUGCAAGUCGAACGGAAAGGCCCUGCUUUUGUGGGGUGCUCGAGUGGCGAACGGGUGAGUAACACGUGAGUAACCUGCCCUUGACUUUGGGAUAACUUCAGGAAACUGGGGCUAAUACCGGAUAGGAGCUCCUGCUGCAUGGUGGGGGUUGGAAAGUUUCGGCGGUUGGGGAUGGACUCGCGGCUUAUCAGCUUGUUGGUGGGGUAGUGGCUUACCAAGGCUUUGACGGAUAGCCGGCCUGAGAGGGUGAACGGGCACAUUGGGACUGAGAGACGGACCAGACGCGUACGGGAGGCAGCAGUGGGGAAUAUUGCACAAUGGGCGGAAGCGUGAUGAAGCAACGCCGCGUGCGGGAUGACGGCCUUCGGGUUGUAAACCGCUUUAGCCUGUGACGAAGCGUGAGUGACGGUAAUGGGUAAAGAAGCACCGGCUAACUACGUG